rnacentral:rRNA from 1 species
GACGAACGCUGUCGGCGUGCUUAACACAUGCAAGUCGAACGGAAAGGCCCUGCUUUUGUGGGUUGCUCGAGUGGCGAACGGGUGAGUAACACGUGAGUAACCUGCCCUUGACUUUGGGAUAACUUCAGGAAACUGGGGCUAAUACCGGAUAGGAGCUCCUGCUGCAUGGUGGGGGUUGGAAAGUUUCGGCGGUUGGGGAUGGACUCGCGGCUUAUCAGCUUGUUGGUGGGGUAGUGGCUUACCAAGGCUUUGACGGGUAGCCGGCCUGAGGGGGUGACCGGCCACAUUGGGAAUGGGAUACGGCCCAGACUCCGACGGGAGGAAGCAGUGGGGAAUACAGCAUGAGGGGCGGAAGCCUAAUGCAGCAAUGCAGCGUGCGGGAUGAAGGCGUGCGGGUUGUAGGCCGCGUUCGCCGGUGAUGAAGAGUGAGUGACGGUAAUGGGUAAAGAAGCCAGGGCUAACUACGGG